ACGUCAACAACAAACUGUAUCUCACAGACUGUGGAGCAAGCAGAAUAAAGGAUCUUGCACAGGCCACUUGGUCCAGUUACGAGGAUGUUGGAGGCCCACAAUGCACAUACAAAGAAGGAAUCAGAUAUCCAAGUGAGCUGAGCUUGAAAAUGUUCAUUUAAAUGUAAUUAAUGAUGCUAUUUUGAUCCAUGACCACUAAGAUUGGAUUUCUCAAAUGUAAUAAUAUAAAUAUACCAUUUCAAGUUGUCCUGCUUAGUCAUUCUCAUUCUCUACAGUUUGACUAGGUAAAUGCAAGUAGUUUAAUGUGAAGAGCGAUUUUGGUGACUCCUAGUUGACAUUAUUUCAAUUUCUCCCAUUACAUUUUAGGUAGCGGGGUGCUUGGUGCAUUACAUAUACUACAGACUAUAUAUAUACUACAAUAUUACAGACUGAUGGGCAACAUCCCUAUCAAACCAGAAGACCCUACUCCAGUGAUCCACUUCGGCUGGCUCAAAAUGUCAAAACAGGCAACUUCACUCUUCAUUUUGAAGAAAAAUGGAGGAGCCUGAAGGAUAUUAUUACCAGAAUGCUGAAUAGCUCAUUUGAAAAACGUCCAACCAUUGGGGAAUGCCUUCAGGUUUUCACAUGUUUCACACAACAGUCCGGUUACAGGGGAACCACAACCAACACCGGCAGCGUGAAUAUAAAUGAAGUGAGUACAUACAUGACCACUGAGAAGUUUACCCUGUCCCUGGAAAUGUCAGAUAAAGAGGAACAGGAACAACAAGCAGAAGCAGAAAAGUCUUCUGACACUGAAGAGGAAUUAUCUGUGCGUGAAAUAAUCACAGAGCAGCGGUUGGAAAUGACGAAUAAAGAGCAGGAACGACAAGCAGAAGCAGACACUUCUUCCACCCCAACAGAUGAAUUACUUGUGUGUGAAAUGGACACGGAGCAACAACUUCCCCUUUCCCAUGAAAUGUCAGAUGACGAUAAACAACAAGCUGAAGAGGAAACAGCAGAAAAGGAAAUAAUUCGAGGACCACCUUCAAAAACCCCAAUGCCGAUGGAUCAAAAUACCCAUGACCUUCAACAAAAUAGUAUCCAAGUGAAAACUUCGUCAAACAGUCAACAUCAGCAGAUCUAUGACAAGAAAAAUGUCUGCCUGUACUGUCAGCGGCCAUAUGCAAAAAUUACAAGACAUCUAAAACAGAAGCAUCAGGAUAAACCUGAAGUGGCAAAGGCACUUGCACACAGGCAAGGUUCAGCCAUGCGCAAUCUUCUUUUGAGCAAAAUGAGGAACCUUGGAAACUACAACCACAACUAUUCAGUCAUGGAAUCUGGGAAAGGACAAAUUGUACCUAAAAGGCAAGCAACCUGUAAAUCAACAGCAACAGACUACCUGCCUUGCAAGUUUUGCUUUGCUAUGUACCUCAAAACAGACCUCUGGAGACACCUAAAGCGGUGCAAACUGCAAGUGAAAGAGGAUGGUCCAGUGAACAGACGACUCCAGACAUCCUGUUCCCUGAUGUUGCCCAUGGAUGCUUCAGUUUCCAGUGGAUUUAAAAAAGUCCUUGAGCAGAUGGCAUAUGACACAGUAACCCAAGUGGUGAAAUCUGACACUCUGAUUCUUUCACUAGGAGAGAGAAUGUUCUCCAAAAAUGGAGAAAAUGUGAGACAAUGGUCAGACAUUGGAAACAAGAUGAGGGAACUCGCAAGACUUCUUGUGGCAGCAAGACAGAUUGAUGAAGACAUUGUCUUUUUGAAGGACUUGAUCAGCCCAGUAAAGUUUAACACAGUACUUGAGAAAGAAAAUGACUGGGUUUGA
rnacentral:lncRNA from 1 species